GAACUGAAUGACAGCUGAUAAUAAGCAUUCUUCCAAGAUCCAACUGCUAUUCAUUCAGUUAGAAAAUGUCAAGACCAUCUGCAAUAACAUCACCAUGUGAUGACUCCCAAUGGUGUUACUGUGCCCUCCAAAUCAACAAGACUUGUGCCUGUGUAAAAAGAGAGUGAUUAUGUACUGAAUCCCAAAGGAAGUCUCACUGAGUGUGAUGUGGUUAGAAGUACUUGAAUAGCAUCUGAAGAGUGAUUGUUUGCAUUUCCUGGAAAGCGAAGAUUUUAUUGCCAAACUGAAUCAUACAGCAAUUGAAGGAGGAAGAGAACAUCAACAAGAGCCACUGUGUACAAGAUUAAAUUGGUAGCAGGUACAUUUAAAGGGACAUUGAUGUAAGGGCUUCAUGGAAUCAGUGGAACAGAUCUACAGGCACUCUGAAGCCGGAGGGAGGGGUCUUCAUUCCCCAGAUCUCUGUAGAUCUACCCAGAGCUGGGCCCAGCUAUUCUCUUUUGAGUGAGAGCAUCUGGCUCCUUUGAAGAAUACAAUCAGUACACAGACAGUGAUGGAGAUAAUUUCCACAAAGCAGAGGUGGAAAACCAUGCUCUGACAGAGAGAAGAAAA
ensembl:lncRNA